UACAGCCAUAUCACAUUGAAAGACCAGUUCCUGUAUGAUCACUGAAGUUAAGCAACACUGAGCCUGGUCAGUAGCUAGAUGGGUGACCACCUAGGAAUACAAAGUGCUGUA